rnacentral:rRNA from 1 species
CCUACGGGAGGCAGCAGUGAGGAAUCUUCCACAAUGGGCGAAAGCCUGAUGGAGCAACGCCGCGUGAAGGAUGAAGGCCUUCGGGUUGUAAACUUCUUUUAUGAGUGAAGAAUAUGACGGUAACUCAUGAAUAAGCACCGGCUAACUACGUGCCAGCAGCCGCGGUCAUACGUAGGGUGCAAGCAUUAUCCGGAGUGACUGGGCGUAAAGAGUUGCGUAGGCGGUUUAAUAAGUGAAUAGUGAAACCUGGUGGCUCAACCAUACAGACUAUUAUUCAAACUGUUAAACUCGAGAAUGGUAGAGGUAACUGGAAUUUCUAGUGUAGGAGUGAAAUCCGUAGAUAUUAGAAGGAACACCGAUGGCGUAGGCAGGUUACUGGGCCAUUUCUGACGCUAAGGCACGAAAGCGUGGGGAGCGAACCGGAUUAGAUACCCGGGUAGUCCACGCCGUAAACGAUGGAUACUAGCUGUUGGAGGUAUCGACCCCUUCAGUAGCGAAGCUAACGCGUUAAGUAUCCCGCCUGUGGAGUACGGCCGCAAGGCUAAAACAUAAAGGAAUUGACGGGGACCCGCACAAGCGGUGGAUUAUGUUCUUUAAUUCGAUGAUAACCGAAGAACCUUACCAGGGCUUGACAUCCAGGGAAGGUCUGCGAAAGUAGACUGUGCCUUUUGGAACCCUGUGACAGGUGAUGCAUGGCCGUCGUCAGCUCGUGUCGUGAGAUGUUAGGUUAAGUCCUUCAACGAGCGCAACCCUUGUGAAUAGUUGUAUUUUUCUAUUCAGACUGCCCCGGUAACGGGGAGGAAGGAGGGGAUGAUGUCAGGUCAGUAUUUCCCUUACG